AAUCUUAUUAAAGGGCAAUAAGAGGAUAUCUUGGUAUUAGGUAUUAUGUGGACGUGCCUAAAAUACGAAAAGUUACAAGGAGCUAGGACGCUGUGAUUUGUGAAUAUCCACCAGGAAAACUAAGCACUUUUGCUUUUUUAUUGACCGUAGUGAACUGAAACAUCUAAUUAACUACAGGAAAAAAAAUCAACCGAGAUUUCGUUAGUAGCGGCGAGUGAAAGCGAAUUAGACCUAUAAUUUAAAAACAAAAUGGAGAACUAUAGUAAAGCUAUGACCAUAGAGGGUAAUGAGUCCCGUAUGCAAUAAUUNUUUUAAAUUUAUGAGUAAAUUGGAACAUGCGUAAUUCUGAUUGAAGAAAGGAGAACCACCUUCUAAGUCUAAAUAUAUCUAAUAACCGAUAGUGUAUAAGUACCGUGAGGGAAAGAUGAAAAAGUACCCGAGGGGGUAAAAAGACCUUGAAACUUAUUGCUUACAAGCUUUAGGAGCCUUUUGGGUGACUGAUUGCUUUUUGUAUAACGAACCAUCGAGUUAAUUUAUUUAGCGAGCUUAAGUUGUGAAAUGUAAGCGUAGCGAAAGCGAGUUUUAAUAAAGCGGCAGUUAAAUGGAUUAGACCCGAAAUUGAGUGAUCUAUUCAUGAGCAGGUUGAAAACGAUGUAAAAUUCGUUGGAGGACCGAACCAGUUACUGUUGCAAAAGUAUUGGAUGACUUGUGAAUAGGGGUGAAAGGCUAAUCAAACUCAAAGAUAGCUGGUUCUCCGUGAAAUCUAUUUAAGUAGAGGGCUCGAAUAUUUUACGUUUGGGGUAGAGCUCUUUAUAGUUUAGGGUGAUGAAUAAUCUUACCGACACUAUGAAAACUACGAAUACGAAUAGUAUAAUUCGAGCACACAGACUAUGGGUGCUAAGAUCCUUAGUCAAAAGGGAAACAGCCCAGACUACGCGUUAAAGUCCUUAAAUUUUCCUAAGUGGUUAAGGGAGUAAAAUAAUAAAAACAGCUAAAAGGUAGGCUUGGAAGCAGCCAUCCUUUAAAGAAAUCGUAAUAGAUCAUUAGCCUAAUUAUUUUGCACCGAAGAUGUAACGGGGCUAAAGGAAAAUACUGAAACGGUAGGCUUAUUAUAAGCGGUAACGGAGCGUUCUGUAAGCCGACGAAGUUAAGCUGUUAAGUUUAAUGCAGGUAUCAGAAGUGAAAAUGAUGGUAUGAGUAGCGUAAAGAAAGGUGUAAAUCCUUUCCACCGUAAACCAAAGGGUUCUGAGGUUAAGUUCGUCUUCCUCAAAAUAAAUCAGCCCCUAAUAUGCUAUCUGAAAAGAUAAAUAAAUGGGUAAAUUAAGCUGCGACGUAUUAUUUUCGUAAUAAAUGUUAGUUUAUGGUGAACUAAUCAUUAUUUACGAUGUAAAUUAAUUCCGGGAAAUAACACUUAAUUUAAACUGUACCCUAAACCGACACUGGUUGGUUAGUUGAAAAUACUAAGGUGUUUGGGAGAACUGUGUUGAAGGAACUCGGCAAAAUGACUCUGUAACUUCGGGAGAAGGAGUUCCAUAUGUACGCAUAUGGAGGCACAAAAUAGAAGAUAGCGACUAGUUAAUAAAACUACAGGACUUUGCGAAAUCGAAAGAUGAUGUAUAAGGUCUGACGUCUGCCCGGUGACAGAAGGUUAAUAAGAUAAGUAUACUGCUUAAAAUUGAAGCCCUGUUAAACGGCUGCCCUAACUCUGAGGGUACUAAGGUAGCAAAAUUCCUUGUCUCCUAAUUAGAGACCUGCAUGAAUGACGUAACGACUUUCUUACUGUCUCCAACACAGACCCUGUGAAAUUGAAUUCUCUGUGAAGAUGCAGAGUAUCUACAGCUAGACGGAAAGACCCUAUGAACCUUUACUACACUUUUACGAUGUUAAUAAUGUUAAGAUGCGCAGGAUAGGUAGAAGUUUUUUAUUAAAAACGUCCUUGAGAUACUACCCUUCUUUCAUUUAUUAACUAAUUUAUAUAAUUUUAACUAUUUAUAAAAACAUCGUAUGAUUGGUAGUUUCUUUGGGGCGAAGCUCUCCUAAAGAGUAACGGAGAGGCGCAAAGGUAAACUCAAACUGACAAACAUCAGUUGUAGAGCGUAAUGGUAUAAGUUUGCCUGACUGUUAGAUUCAUAAAUCGAGCAGGAGCUUUAAUUAUUCAUUUAAUUACAGCUGGCCAUAGUGAUCUGGUAGUUUUUAGUGGAAAAGCUAUCACUCAACAGAUAAAAGGUACUCUAGGGAUAACAGGCUAAUACCGGCUAAGAGUUCAUAUCGCCGCCGGUGUUUGGCACCUCGAUGUCGAUUGUGCGUAUCCUGGGGCUGAAGCAGGUCCCAAGGGUUGAGUUGUUCGCUCAUUAAAACGCAACCUGAAUUGGGUUUAGAACGUCGUAAGACAGUUUGGUCCCUAUCUACUGUGGACGUUAUUAUUAAAAAAUUUGAAAGGUAUCGAGACUAGUACGAGAGGAUCGUCAAGAAUAAACCAAUGGUGUAUCGAUUGUCACGCCCGUGGCAACGUCGAGUAUCUACGUUUGUAUGAGAUAACCGCUGAAAACAUCUCAAGCGGGAAGCCUACCUUAAGAUAAAAUUUUUGAAAGCCGUGUAAUAACAGCACGUUGAUAGGUUCUANNUACNAANUNUANUAANCCCAGU
rnacentral:rRNA from 1 species